AUAAAUUAAACAUUUAAUUUGGGACAAGUGGCUUAAUGCUAGCCACUUUAACCCAAAUGAAUAAAAAAAAAAAAAAGAAAAGAAAAGAGUUAGGGAUCAUCUUCUUUCUUUCUCCCGUUACUUCCAUUUUUCUUCCCUAAAAUUCUUCUUUUCAAUUCUACUCCAUUUUCUUCCAAUUUUUCACCCCAAAUUGCUAGCCCAUCUCAUCCAAGUCUUUUCCCUAGUUAAAUAUUCAAGGUAGGAGGAAGAAUCAAGUAGAAAAUUCAAGGUGGAGGGAGAGGAAAUAUUAAUUACAUAUUGGAAAUUUGAAAGAAGAAGUGGAAGGGAAAGGAAAAGAAAAGGAAAAUUAGAGAAUUUUAGGCUUGUGGAAGAUCUUGGGAAGGUUGUAAAUUCAAGGAAUAGUAGAUCAAGGUCUACAUCAACCCAGUCAGAGUUACAUCAUUGACUGUCUUGGGGUAUAUUUUGUACAUUUUAUACAAAAUUAAUUUUGAAAAUAUGGCAUGUACAUAAAGUUUUAGAAAUAAGGUUGUAUAUGGUUUGAAUUAGAUAUAUUUGAAUAUUUUAAUUUUAGUGUAAAUAUGGAUGACUAGUAUAAGUUUUUGUAUUGAGAUGAAUGAGAUGAUUAUGAAGUGUUUGAUCUGAAUUGAAAUGGUAUUGUUGAUGAAAGAAGUUUGGGGGUUAAGGUUGAAAUUGAUAGAAGUGUGAUAUUACUUUUCACAGGUGGAAUUAAGUCCAUAUUUUAGGGGAAACUCUGCCGGAUUUUUUGGUUAAAAAAAAAAAGCCAUGAUUUACAUGAUAUAAAAUAAAGGAAAGAUAAGAGAAUUGUUACAGAAUGUAAUGUCUCCAACUCAGUUAAUUAAAUAACCGGGUAGGGGGUGUUACAUUUAGUGGUAUCAGAGCAAGUUUAGUCGAUUCUAGACAGUAUGUGGGUAAAUAGAUAGGUAUAAGAAUAUGUAUAUGCCAUAUAUAUUAAAGAUAUGAUGUAACUCUUAUGUAACUCUGAUGCAGAUCUAUUUUAUGAAUCUUAA